AUUUAUCUUUUCUAUUAAAGAUUAAUACCUUGAAAUGUCAAAAUAGCAUAGACUUGAGAAAAAUUUAAGCCUUGUAGAGUUACUCUGUAUACUUACCUAUAACAAGCCUCUAGUGUGCUGGCAGAAUGCAGUGUGCAGAUGAAGGCUGAGAGAUAAUAUCCCACCUCUUCUGCUUCAGCUUCCCAGAGUGGGUGUGGCUAGUGGAGGGGAGUUCAUACAACUGACAAUAUGCUUGCCCAAUAUUUUCUGGCUAACCCUCAUUUCUCACAAUGACUCUUUGUAGGCUUUUUUGUUGUUGUUGUUUUUCAUUUCACCUCCAGGUAUGAUUUUUAUUUUUGCAAAGAACUGAGGGAUGAAAAGUUUUGCCAGCAGAUAUUUGGUGUUGUGAACACGUAGAAGUGGUCUAAGGAAGUUACUGGCCUAGUCUCUGCUCUAGUGGAGAAACAGACUGCAGAUUGAAUUCCUACAUAGGCUAUUCCAGAAUUCUUACGAGACUUGCAUUAGGACAUCAGCAACAGGUAUCAUCUAGUGAACUGUUCAGAUGCAACUGAAUUGAAAAGGAGCUGAACAAAAGAUCCUGAGAGAGACUUCAACAAAAAGUAAAAUGGAUUUUAUCAUACUUGAAAAAUCAACAAUUGCAGUCUGGAUUCAUACAUCACUGUCUGAUGCACCCAACUUGAGUCAAAAAGAUGUUUCAAAUCCCACUAGGCUGGAGGCAAAAAUACUCAAGAGUUUAAGAGCGUCUCUUGACAGUGUACAGAAUAAGAUAGCUUCUCAGCUUUCAGCUUUACUUCACGGUUUUAACUAUCAAAAGAAGCAAGCCAUCUGAAGAUUUGCCUGAGACUGAAGGAUCCACUUCUGCGACGACUCCCUCAGGACUUAUAAUGCAGAUGGAACCAGAUUGAGAAAAACCAGCCAACCAACCAACCAACAUGAUGGCUGAACCAGACAAGAGAAGUCCCGAAGUAAAAUACCCACCAAUUACCAGAAUCUGUGCCUGCCAUACAUCGAAGUCUCUGACUUCUUUAUUCCA
rnacentral:lncRNA from 1 species